AUUGAACGCUGGCGGCAUGCUUUACACAUGCAAGUCGAACGGUAACAGGCCUUCGGGUGCUGACGAGUGGCGAACGGGUGAGUAAUGCAUCGGAACGUACCCAGUGGCGGGGGAUAACGCAGCGAAAGCUGUGCUAAUACCGCAUGUGAUCUGAGGAUGAAAGCGGGGGACCGAGCAGCAAUGUUUGGCCUCGCGCCUUUGGAGCGGCCGAUGUCGGAUUAGCUAGUUGGGGGGGUAAAGGCCUACCAAGGCGACGAUCCGUAUCGGGUCUGACAGGGCGACCCGCCACACUGGGACUGAGACACGGCCCAGACUCCUACGGGAGGCAGCAGUGGGGAAUUUUGGACAAUGGGCGCAAGCCUGAUCCAGGAAUGCCGCGUGAGGGAAGAAGGCCUUCGGGUUGUAAAGCGCUUUAGGCAGGAGCGAAACGGUGUCCGCUAAUACCGGGCGCUAAUGACGGUACCUGCAGAAUAAGCACCGGCUAACUACGUG
rnacentral:rRNA from 1 species